rnacentral:rRNA from 1 species
UACGUAGGGUGCGAGCGUUGUCCGGAAUUAUUGGGCGUAAAGAGCUUGUAGGCGGUCUGUCGCGUCUGCUGUGAAAAUCCGGGGCUCAACCUCGGGUCUGCAGUCGAUACGAGCAAACUAGAGUGUUGCAGGGGAGACUGGAAUUCCUGGUGUAGCGGUGAAAUGCGCAGAUAUCAGGAGGAACACCGGUGGCGAAGGCGGGUCUCUGGGCAACAACUGACGCUGAGGAGCGAAAGCGUGGGGAGCGAACAGG